CCUACGGGGGGCAGCAGUGAGGAAUAUUGGUCAAUGGCCGAGAGGCUGAACCAGCCAAGUCGCGUGAGGGAAGACGGCCCUACGGGUUGUAAACCUCUUUUGUCGGGGAGCAAAGCGAACCACGUGUGGUUCAUUGAGAGUACCCGAAGAAAAAGCAUCGGCUAACUCCGUGCCAGCAGCCGCGGUAAUACGGAGGAUGCGAGCGUUAUCCGGAUUUAUUGGGUUUAAGGGGGUCGCGGUGGGAGGUGCAAGUCAGCGGUCAAAUUUCGGGGCUCAACCCCGUACUGCCGUUGAAACUGCAUCCCUUGAGUGCGCGAGAAGUAUGCGGAAUGCGUGGUGUAGCGGUGAAAUGCAUAGAUAUCACGCAGAACUCCGAUUGCGAAGGCAGCAUACCGGCGCGCAACUGACGCUCAUGCACGAAAGCGUGGGUAUCGAACAGGAUUAGAUACCCUGGUAGUC
rnacentral:rRNA from 1 species